UCCGUUACCAUCAGACGCAACGUGAAGCGGCGAAGGCCCUCGCCUAGACAGGCGGUGCUGAGGUAUCGCGACCGAGUUCCCCACGAGCCCAGGAGACUCCGACUUAGGAGCAUCAGGGCCGUCGGCUGACAUUAUUAUUUCGUAAACCUACUCUCUCUCCGCUGCCGCGGCUGACGAAACGAUAACCCUCUCUCAAAAGUUGAGCCUGCGAAGUAGGUAGACUAGACGCGUGUUCCGCUGCUGGAGGACUGCGACAGGGAGUGAGGGUGUGCGGAGCGGACGAGCGGUGAGCGAGGGAGAAGCGGCCGCAGUCCCUGGAUGUUCGUGGGCGGCCGGUACAGGCCCUCGGGGCGGCUGGGCGCGGGCGGCCUCGGCCUCGUCUUGCCGCCUCCGCUGCCCAUGCGCAUGGACAGCCCCGACCCGUUGUCGAAGAGCAGCCUCCGGCAGGUCCCCAGCGAGGGCCGGUUGCCGGUGUUGUCGGGCGACGAGACGGGCGACCCGGAGAUGCGGCUCGUCGAGAGGCCGUGGAGGAAGUGGUGGGGCGCGGUGGCGUUGGAGGCGUGCACCUACAUGGCCUAGUUCGGCAGCCACUGGGUGCUGGGGAAGGUGGGCGCCCUGGGCGGGUUGGGGGCGGAGGAGCGGCUGAAGGUGCUGGGCGCGCGGCGGUAGCGGUGCGGGUGGGUCGAGGCUACCUCCGGGGCGCUACGCCUAUUCCUACGCCUGGAGCUGAAGCAGCUGCCGGAGAUGUGGCAGACGCCGCGGCCGUCAAGGAAGGAGGCGGUGCCUAAGCGUCAGGUGUACAUGCGGCGAUUGUUCAGGUACCUGCCUACGCGGAAGACGUUGCGGCUGCCGCUGAAGGAGUAGCACGGUGUCGUUCCCUCAGUCAGAAGACCCGAAGCUGGGCAGUUUAAGUCUGUAUUGCGCGAUAGAAAGACAUGGAUGGUCGGACAACGAGACAAGUACGAACUAACCUUGAUAGAGUGUAUAGGUCGGCGUGUUGGUGGUAAACCGUAAUGAUUGGUUAUUGUGGUCCGGGGUGACGGUGAUCUCAAUACUAGUGUAGAAUGAGAACAAUGGGUUUUAAGACACGAGCGGUAGGAACAGUCACAGGGUCAGAAGACAGCAAUACACGCUAACUAUUGGAUGAAAUAGACGUUUUUAUAUCGUAUGAAUUUUUUUUUGAUUUUCCUAUCCUCUAUUAACUAACUACGUUAGGGAUAAGACAAUACGAAUGUAAACUACCUUUACAGUUAGGAGUAGUGGAAGGUACCAAAACCACAGUUCGGGUCUCAACAACUAGUGUUGGCUCACGCCUUUCUACAACCACGGUGGACCGCUCUAGCAGCAGUAAGGAGUCCCGAAGGCGAAGCGGCAGCUGAACGGACUGCCGGGAAGCGCACCGAUACAAAGGCUCUAGAAGCCGCGGGUAAAGGUCGAGGGACUAGAACCAGGCUAGCCACGGUUGCCAAACCGAAGCCGCUCCCUAAAGGAGAGGGGGUGCCGUACCAUGCUCGUUCGGGUGGCGGGACCCAUACAGUAUCACGUCUUCAUACCACCACUCGAUAAGUGGCGGUGUGUCCUAAAAAGUGGCAAAUUACACCAGCGGACCGUACCUUUAAUACAGGGUAUGUUCAUGCUGGACUCGUUCAAGACAGGUAAAUUGUGACAGGACAAGCUAGUGCGGCUGGGCAGUCAUUUGUGUCAAGAAUGACGAGGUUGACUGUUCGGACCGCAUCGUAAUGAACUAAAACACUAUAAGGGCGGGGCUACCGACCAACGGCUCUUGUGUAAGGCGGGAGGCAUGAUGGUAGCGUUGACGUACUCGCUCAAGUACCCUGACUAGAUGCCGCAUAUGCUCCGUUUUCGGCUACCGAAGGAGGGGCCUCCGCGCUCGGACGUGUCGACGUACUGUGGGGUACCCGGCCUGUGGUUCUGCAUGCUCCGCUGGUAGUCGUUCGAACCGCCUGGCCUCCGGUUGUGCGGCUGUUCCGACUCGCCGUGCGACCGGAAGUACAAGCUCAGACGCGACUAGGGUGCGCACACGGCGACCCGCGAGCUCAGUGGCAGGGCCCUGGAGCUGAUGAUGGUCACAACCUAGCCCGAGUUUAGGGUGAAGAGGGUGCCGUUUCUACCGUCACUGCCUGGACGCUGUUGGUCGUCGCUGCUGUUCCUACCGCUCUUCAUCGAGACAAGGGCGUCCAUCCUUUACUUUAAGGGUCCGGUACAUAUACAUACAUAUGAUGAUCAAUGGACACAUUUCCCUCUUUCGUUUGUAAUUAGUUAGGUCAUCCUUAUUUAUUCGUCUUACACGUCGUACGUACAUGUUAGUGGUAGGUUGUACGGUUACACAUAUCUAUUAUUAUAGUAAUCGUUCGUUUUCGUACAUGUAACUACCACUACUCGUCAACCAAAAGAAACGACCAAUCGUCGGAUAAAUAAGCGACUAACAUGGGAGUGGUGAAAACAACCUAUUUGGAGGGGAUCAAUUAAGACAUUCCUUCUUCUACGUAUGUACAAAAAGCUUAUUUCUCCUUAUUACACCGACGUGGAAGUCAGAAGACGAACAACACAACAUGACUUUAGUCAAUACAACUGUCAUAUGUACAUACAAGGAUAGACAUUAGGUAUAGCUAAGUAGUGACUUAAGACCGGUAGUCAAUCAACGUGGACGUAAUCAAUAUGCCUUACGAAGUCUUAACACACCUAUAUUCGUCG
rnacentral:rRNA from 1 species